rnacentral:tRNA from 1 species
GAUCUGUUCGUCUAAUGGCCAGGACCCAAGACUUUCACUCUUGGAAUAUGGGUUCGAUUCCCGUACAGAUCA